rnacentral:rRNA from 1 species
UAGGGAAUAUUGGACAAUGGGGGCAACCCUGAUCCAGCCAUGCCGCGUGAGUGAAGAAGGCCCUCGGGUUGUAAAGCUCUUUUGUCCGGAAAGAAAAGCAUUCGGUGAAUACCCGGAUGUUCUGACGGUACCGGAAGAAUAAGCACCGGCUAACUUCGUGCCAGCAGCCGCGGUAAUACGAAGGGUGCAAGCGUUACUCGGAAUUACUGGGCGUAAAGCGUGCGUAGGUGGUUGUUUAAGUCUGAUGUGAAAGCCCUGGGCUCAACCUGGGAAUGGCAUUGGAAACUGGGCAGCUAGAGUGCGGUAGAGGGUAGUGGAAUUCCCGGUGUAGCAGUGAAAUGCGUAGAGAUCGGGAGGAACAUCUGUGGCGAAGGCGACUGCCUGGACCAGCACUGACACUGAGGAACGAAAGCGUGGGGAGCAAACA